GCCUCACUGGCCACUUGUCGCUCUGCGGCGACUGGGACCCAGAGACUGCGGGAGAUCUGGAUGAAACAGUCACCGGGCGGGGAGCGACGCCGCAGGCAGCGCGAAGCGGGACGGACGCCAGAGCCUCAGCCGCCUGAGUGCCAGAAACGGGGGCGCGAGAGCAGUCUCUUCUCGCUCAGCUGAAAAACUGUAAAUGAGCCACCAGUGGGAAGGGCUAAGGUCACCGGUAGAAAGAAGUGUUUUAUUUAAUCCAUUUUGCAUCACAAAGGGCUUGCAAGGGUUGCUUUUGUUUUAGUUUGCUUUUUAAUUACCUACGAGUGGGUUUGGGGCGCAGCUCUGUCUGGUAUGGAGGCUCCUUGGUUGAGUCUUACGAGUGAUUUUUGAUGUUUUGGACCGCUGUAAACUUUACAGCUCUUCAGCAGCAACUUUGAAUCACUAGGGUGUAUUUGUCUUUUUAGGAAUUUUUAUGCCAUGCUGCUAAUGUUCAUGAUGAUCAUAAAGGGUGUCCAUAACAAUGGGUGGUAGAUUUUCCUGUACUCUGUAGAAUGACAUUUUUAUUGUGUAGUAGAGGACAGAUUAGUAUGAGAAAUUAAAUACUAAUACGUUUCUACUCCACCCUUCUUCAUGUUCUCCUCAGCAGGCUUCUGAUCACUGACAUGCACCAUCUUUAAAUGACCCCAAGUGUCUGCCCUAAAGUUUCCCAGAAUUGCACUGAGUACCCCGUGGGACACUUGCCUCAUUCUGCCUGAGAACGAUGCUGUUCCAACUCUGGUCACUGAGGGUUAGGGAAGAAGGGAUUCCAGAGUGACUUCUUCCUGGACCUGUUGCAACUUGGAAUUUGGAAAAGAACCCCCAAGGCAUAACCUUGCUUUCCUCUCGGACUUAGUUGAAGACUGUGGCUCCAUCUCCUAUGGAAUCCACUACUUGCACCUUUCUCCGGCUUUCUCUGGGAUUAGCUUUCCAUAAGGGAUGCAGAAUAGAGACCACAAAGAACAGUUCCUAGUUUGAGCCUCAGUUUGGAGAACAAUGGAACUUUGGAGAAGUAGGAUGUGACAAACACAGGCAACUUGAGGACAGUGUCAUGAGACAAGGACAUUUCUUGCUACAGAAAACCACCUUUUGGAGGACAUCAAUCCAGAUGAUUUUGUGAGGUCUUUGGCAUCCAGACAUACUCUUUUCAAAGCCUGGCAGAGAUUAUUUGCAAAGUGGCCAGCACUGGUCUCUUGAAGGAAUUAGAGGUCAAUGGAGUACUUUACCAGUGACUCAAGUAACAUAUGAAAGCUAGUGUAAAUUUAUUGGGAAAGUAUAAAAAAUAUGGAUAGAUAAAAGUGACAGAGGCAUGAACAAAUUGGACAUUUUAAACUCACAACAUGGGCAAGUGAUUGCUGCUUUAAAAAAACCUCAUUGUACAGUCUGCACUGAAACUUUAUUUAUUACUAUUCAUUUAUUUUUACCCAAAGAGAUCUUUAAGCCUGGAAGCAAAAAUUGAAUUUUGCUAGAAAUAACUAAACUCCA